UACGUAGGUGGCAAGCGUUGUCCGGAUUUACUGGGCGUAAAGAGCGCGCAGGCGGUCGUUCAAGUCGCGUGUGAAAGCCCCCGGCUCAACUGGGGAGGGUCACGCGAUACUGAUCGACUCGAAGGCAGGAGAGGGUAGUGGAAUUCCCGGUGUAGUGGUGAAAUGCGUAGAUAUCGGGAGGAACACCAGUGGCGAAGGCGACUUCCUGGCCUGU
rnacentral:rRNA from 1 species